AGUGAACGCUGGCGGUAGGCCUAACACAUGCAAGUCGAACGGCAGCACAGUAAGAGCUUGCUCUUACGGGUGGCGAGUGGCGGACGGGUGAGGAAUACAUCGGAAUCUACUUUUUCGUGGGGGAUAACGUAGGGUAACUUACGCUAAUACCGCAUACGACCUACGGGUGAAAGCAGGGGAUCUUCGGACCUUGCGCGAUUGAAUGAGCCGAUGUCGGAUUAGCUAGUUGGCGGGGUAAAGGCCCACCCAGGCGACGAUCCGUAGCUGGGCUGAGAGGAUGGAUAGCCCACCUGGGAAUGAGACCCGGCCCAGUCGGCCAACGGAAGGAGCAGGGGGGAAUAUGGGACAAAGGGUGGAAGCCCUAGCCCACCAAACCGGCGGGGGGAAGAAAGCCGUCGGGUCCGAAAGGCCCUUUUUUGGGGAAAGAAAAGCAGCAGGUUAAUACCCCGCUGUUCUGACGGUACCCAAAGAAUAAGCACCGGCUAACUUCGUG
rnacentral:rRNA from 1 species